rnacentral:rRNA from 1 species
CCUAGGGGAGGCAGCAGUGAGGAAUAUUGGUCAAUGGGCGCGAGCCUGAACCAGCCAAGUAGCGUGAAGGAUGACUGCCCUACGGGUUGUAAACUUCUUUUAUAAAGGAAUAAAGUGAGGCACGUGUGCCUUUUUGUAUGUACUUUAUGAAUAAGGAUCGGCUAACUCCGUGCCAGCAGCCGCGGUAAUACGGAGGAUGCGAGCGUUAGCCGGAUUUAUUGGGUUUAAAGGGUGCGUAGGCGGAAUAUCAAGUCAGCGGUAAAAAUUCGGGGCUCAACCCCGUCGUGCCGUUGAAACUGAUGUUCUUGAGUGGGCGAGAAGUAUGCGGAAUGCGUGGUGUAGCGGUGAAAUGCAUAGAUAUCACGAAGAACUCCGAUUGCGAAGGCAGCCUACUAAACUGCCACUGACAUUGAUGCUCGAAAGUGUGGGUAACAAACAGGAUUAGAUACCCCUGUAGUC